rnacentral:pre_miRNA from 1 species
GAAAUACUCCCUCCGUUCGAAAAUACUUGCCGGAGAAAUGGAUAAAAAUGAAUGUAUUAAGAACUAAAAUAUGUCUAGAUACAUCCAUUCCUCCGACAAGUAUUUUCAGACGGAGGGAGUAUGUA